GAUGAACGCUAGCUACAGGCUUAACACAUGCAAGUCGAGGGGCAGCGGGAUUGAAGCUUGCUUCAAUUGCCGGCGACCGGCGCACGGGUGAGUAACGCGUAUCCAACCUUCCGUACACUCAGGGAUAGCCUUUCGAAAGAAAGAUUAAUACCUGAUGGUAUGAUGAGAUCGCAUGGUAUCAUCAUUAAAGAUUUAUCGGUGUACGAUGGGGAUGCGUUCCAUUAGGUAGUAGGCGGGGUAACGGCCCACCUAGCCUACGAUGGAUAGGGGUUCUGAGAGGAAGGUCCCCCACAUUGGAACUGAGACACGGUCCAAACUCCUACGGGAGGCAGCAGUGAGGAAUAUUGGUCAAUGGACGAGAGUCUGAACCAGCCAAGUAGCGUGAAGGAUGAAGGUCCUACGGAUUGUAAACUUCUUUAUAGGGGUAAUAAAGUGGAGGACGUGUCCUUUUUUGUAUGUACCCUAUGAAUAAGCAUCGGCUAACUCCGUGCCAGCAGCCG
rnacentral:rRNA from 1 species